rnacentral:lncRNA from 1 species
UUUAUAUACCUCUCUUCCUCUCUCAUAAUUAACUGUCCUUUUCUUCAUAUUAGAUGCAACAACAUUUGAGCCAACAACACAAUUGACCCCAGCAACUAGUAAGUAUUAUCAACAUCUGGAAAAGUCACUGAGUUAUUUUAUCAGAAGUCCAUAAACAAUUGAUCUUAUGGAUGUAGUCUUUUAUGUACCUCUCUUCCUCUCUCAUAAUUAACUGUCCUUUUCUUCAUAUUAGAUGCAACAACACCAUUUGAGCCAACAACACAAUUGACCCCAGCAACUAGUGCAAAUACAUUUCAGCCAACAACACAAUUGACCCCAGCAACUAGUAAGUAUUAUCAACAUCUGGAAAAGUCACUGAGUUAUUUUAU